ACGGAAGGCAGCAGUGGGGAAUAUUGCACAAUGGGGGAAACCCUGAUGCAGCGACGCCGCGUGAGUGAUGAAGUAUUUCGGUAUGUAAAGCUCUAUCAGCAGGGAAGAUAAUGACGGUACCUGACUAAGAAGCACCGGCUAAAUACGUGCCAGCAGCCGCGGUAAUACGUAUGGUGCAAGCGUUAUCCGGAUUUACUGGGUGUAAAGGGAGCGUAGGCGGUACGGCAAGUCUGAAGUGAAAUCCCAGGGCUCAACCUUGGAACUGCUUUGGAAACUGUCGAACUAGAGUGUCGGAGAGGUAAGUGGAAUUUCUAGUGUAGCGGUGAAAUGCGUAGAUAUUAGGAGGAACACCAGUGGCGAAGGCGGCUUGCUGGACGAUUACUGACGCUGAGGCUCGAAAGCGUGGGGAGCAAACAGGAUUAGAUACCCUGGUA
rnacentral:rRNA from 1 species